rnacentral:rRNA from 1 species
GGGCCCGCACAAGCGGUGGAGCAUGUGGUUCAAUUCGACGCAACGCGAAGAACCUUACCCAGGCUUGAACAGCGAGUGACCAGCGACGAAAGUUGCCUUCCGCAAGGACACUCGUAGAGGUGCUGCAUGGCUGUCGUCAGCUCGUGUCGUGAGAUGUUGGGUUAAGUCCCGCAACGAGCGCAACCCUUGUUUGCUGUUGCCAUCACGUUAUGGUGGGCACUCUGCAAAGACUGCCGGUGAUAAACCGGAGGAAGGUGGGGAUGACGUCAAGUCAGCAUGGCCUUUAUGUCUGGGGCUACACACGUGCUACAAUGGCCGGUACAAACCGUCGCAAAACCGCAAGGUGAAGCUAAUCGGAUAAAGCCGGUCUCAGUUCGGAUAGCAGGCUGCAACUCGCCUGCUUGAAGUUGGAAUCGCUAGUAAUCGCGGAUCAGCACGCCGCGGUGAAUACGUUCCCGGGCCUU